GAUGAACGCUGGCGGCGUGCUUAACACAUGCAAGUCGAACGAAGUGCUUUUGAACAAUCCCUUCGGGGUGCGUUCUUAAGUAUCUUAGUGGCGGACGGGUGAGUAACGCGUGGGUAACCUGCCUCAUGCAGGGGGAUAACAGUUAGAAAUGACUGCUAAUACCGCAUAGGACCACGAAUACACAAGUAUUAGGGGUGAAAGAUUUAUCGGAUAGAGAUGAGCUUGCGUAACAUUAGUUAGUUGGUGAGGUAACGGCCCACCAAGACGAUGAUGUUUAGCCGAUUUGAGAGGAUGAUCGGCCACACUGGAACUGAGAUACGGUCCAGACUCCUACGGGAGGCAGCAGUUAGGAAUAUUGGGCAAAUGGAGGAAACUCUGACCCAGCAACGCCGCGUGAAGGAUGAAGGUCUUUGGAUUGUAAACUGUUGUCGAGAGGGAGAAAAAAGACAGUACCUCUGGAGGAAGCUCCGGCAAACUACGUG
rnacentral:rRNA from 1 species